AUCAACUUUCGAUGGUAGGAUAGAGGCCUACCAUGGUGGUAACGGGUAACGGGGUGUUAGGGCACGACACCGGAGAGGGAGCCUGAGAAACGGCUACCACAUCCAAGGAUGGCAGCAGGCGCGCAAAUUACCCAAUCCCGACACGGGGAGGUAGUGACAAUAAAUAACAAUACGGGGUUCUUUCGGAUUUCGUAAUUGGAAUGAGUACAAUUUAAAUCUCUUAACGAGGAACAAUUGGAGGGCAAGUCUGGUGCCAGCAGCCGCGGUAAUUCCAGCUCCAAUAGCGUAUAUUAAAGUUGCUGCAGUUAAAAAGCUCGUAGUUGAAUUUCGGGACCAAUAUGUCGGUCGUGCCUCGGUACGUACUGGCAUCGUUGGUCUCUCCCUUCUGACGAACCAUGAUGUCAUUUAUUUGGUGUCGUGAGGAAUCAGGACCGUUACUUUGAAAAAAUUAGAGUGUUUAAAGCAGGCUCACGCUUGAAUACAUUAGCAUGGAAUAAUGAAAUAGGACGUUUGAUUCUAUUUUGUUGGUUUCUAGGAUCGACGUAAUGAUUAAUAGGGAUAGUUGGGGGCAUUAGUAUUCAAUUGUCAGAGGUGAAAUUCUUGGAUUUAUUGAAGACUAACUACUGCGAAAGCAUUUGCCAAGGAUGUUUUCAUUAAUCAAGAACGAAAGUUAGGGGAUCGAAGACGAUCAGAUACCGUCGUAGUCUUAACCAUAAACUAUGCCGACUAGGGAUCGGAUGAUGUUAAUUUUUUAAUGACUCAUUCGGCGCCUUACGGGAAACCAAAGUGUUUGGGUUC
rnacentral:rRNA from 1 species